CCUAGCCUCCAUUCCCCUUCUACUCGCUGCCCCUCCAGCCGCACCACUCGGGCCUCCGCCGUCUCCUCCACCAUAAACCCGCCACCGUCUGCGCGUCUCUGUCAUCUCCUCCGCCACAAACCCCCACCCUCCGCCGGUAUCUUCGUCAGCGACGACAUCUUUUCCGGUGAAGUUUAGGGUUGAUCGUUAAGCAGUUUGUAACAAUAAUAAUGGACUCAGCUGCUUUGCUCUUUGGUGUUCUGCCUAGGCUUUGGAAGGUGAUAUUGUGGAAUCCACUGGCCUUUGAUUCAGCAGUGCACAAAUGAGGAGGAAAUUGUUGCUGUGAUUGCUCAUGAACCCGGUCAUUGGAAACUGAAUCACACAAUAUACUCCUCUGUUGGUGUUUAGUGUAAGCAACAAAAUGGUGGAUGGGAAUGCGGCUACAUGGUUCUCCAACAUAUGUUUAUCAAUUUAUUACAUCCCUUACAUGACUUUGUCAAUUUGUAUCAAAGCCAAUUUUCCGAUGAAAUGUGGCACGACACAAGAGAGACUACAGAUAAUGAAAUAAUGUUUUGUUGAUGACGUUGAUGCCGAAGUUUUUUAGCGAGUUAGGUAUUUCGUUAGUUUAGCUUAUGUGUAGUUUGUUUUGUAUUCACAAAUGAUUGUAAUUUGACGGGUUUAUUUCCGAAUUGGAUGUCUACGGGUUUAUUGUGGAUUUGAAUGUGUAUUGUUUUGGUUUG